rnacentral:hammerhead_ribozyme from 1 species
AUCCAGCUGAUGAGUCUCAAAUAAGACGGAACUCUCAACCUGGAU